rnacentral:rRNA from 1 species
GACGAACGCUGGCGGCGUGCUUAACACAUGCAAGUCGAGCGGUAAGGCCCUUUCGGGGGUACGACGAGCGGCGAACGGGUGAGUAACACGUGGGUGACCUGCCCUCAGCUCUGGGAUAAGCCUGGGAAACCGGGUCUAAUACUGGAUAUGACUCCAUGACGCAUGUUGUGGGGUGGAAAGCCUUGUGCGGCUGAGGAUGGGCCCGCGGCCUAUCAGCUUGUUGGUGGGGUGANGGCCUACCAAGGCGACGACGGGUAGCCGGCCUGAGAAGGCGACCGGCCACACUGGGACUGAGACACGGCCCAGACUCCUACGGGAGGCAGCAGUGGGGAAUCCUGCGCAAUGGGCGAAAGCCUGACGCAGCGACGCCGCGUGAGGGAUGACGGCCU